CACAGAAUUUACCAUUUGUGG
rnacentral:misc_RNA from 1 species